GACGAACGCUGGCGGCGUGCUUAACACAUGCAAGUCGAACGGAAAGGCCCUGCUUUUGUGGGGUGCUCGAGUGGCGAACGGGUGAGUAACACGUGAGUAACCUGCCCUUUACUUUGGUAUAACUUCAGGUAACUUGGGCUAAUACCGGAUAGGAGCUCCUGCUGCAUGGUGGGGGUUGGAAAGUUUCGGCGGUUGGGGAUGGACUCGCGGCUUAUCAGCUUGUUGGUGGGGUAGUGGCUUACCAAGGCUUUGACGGGUAGCCGGCCUGAGAGGGUGACCGGCCAGAUUGGGAAUGAGAUAGGGCCCAGACUCCUACGGGAGGCAGCAGUGGGGAAUAUUGCAGAAGGGGCGGAAGCCUGAUGAAGCAACGCCGCGUGCGGGAUGACGGCCUUCGGGUUGUAAACCGCUUUCGCCUGUGACGAAGCGUGAGUGACGGUAAUGGGUAAAGAAGCACCGGCUAACUACGUG
rnacentral:rRNA from 1 species